rnacentral:tRNA from 1 species
ACCCCCGUGGCCCAAUGGAUAAGGCGACUGACUUCUAAUCAGUAGAUUGCAGGUUCGAGUCCUGCCGGGGGUA